UGUACAGGCAUCGAGAACCGAGCGUUGCUCGGUUGGCUAGCAUCGCUGGUGAGCGAGCAGCCCGCGCGGGUUCGAUCCCUGGGAUCAUCAUCCGCGCGUCUCACCGGGAUUUAUUCCCAAAUAAAUUUCCAGCUCUCCUGUGCCAGCGCCACAAUAGUAGAGUGACGUCCUCGUCACGCACAAGGUUCUUAGGUGGCUUUGUGCAUCUCAUUAGCACGUGUGUGUAUAGUUGAUAGGUCUAGCAUGCGUGUAGGGGUGUGUGUGUGUGCGUGGUGGAGUGCGUUUGCACGUAUGUUCAGAUAGUUGAUAGGUCUAGCAUGCGUGCCAGCGCCACAAUAGUAGAGUGACGUCCUCGUCACGCACAAGGUUCUUAGGUGGCUUUGUGCAUCUCAUUAGCACGUGUGUGUAUAGUUGAUAGGUCUAGCAUGCGUGUAGGGGUGUGUGUGUGCGUGGUGGAGUGCGUUUGCACGUAUGUUCAGAUACUACAGCUUGUACUCAAAGCGGAGAGCUCUCAAAAAAAAAAUUGUACAG